rnacentral:tRNA from 1 species
GGCCUCGUAGUGUAAUUGGCAUAGCACAACUCAUAGCUUCCAGACGUAGUGGUGCACUUAGCAUUGAAAAGAGUAGAUACAGGUUCAAGUCCUGUCGAGGUCC